rnacentral:rRNA from 1 species
AUUGAACGCUGGCGGCAUGCCUAACACAUGCAAGUCGAGCGGAUGAGUGGAGCUUGCUCCAUGAUUCAGCGGCGGACGGGUGAGUAAUGCCUAGGAAUCUGCCUGGUAGUGGGGGACAACGUCUCGAAAGGAACGCUAAUACCGCAUACGUCCUACGGGAGAAAGUGGGGGAUCUUCGGACCUCACGCUAUCAGAUGAGCCUAGGUCGGAUUAGCUAGUUGGUGAGGUAAAGGCUCACCAAGGCGACGAUCCGUAACUGGUCUGAGAGGAUGAGCAGUCACACUGGAACGUAGACACGAGCCAGACUCCUACGGGAGGCAGCAGUGGGGAAUAUUGGACAAUGGGCGAAAGCCUGAUCCAGCCAUGCCGCGUGUGUGAAGAAGGUCUUCGGAUUGUAAAGCACUUUAAGUUGGGAGGAAGGGCAGUAAGUUAAUACCUUGCUGUUUUGACGUUACCAACAGAAUAAGCACCGGCUAACUUCGUGCCAGCCGCCGCCGUAACAC